GGAGGACACCUAUAACAACGUGUUCACCCUGCCUCGUGAACACAAUCCCAAAAUCACCCGGGAGCCCUAUCUAGUGAUCAAGGGCGUACAGAUGGGGGACUCCGGACGGUACACGUGUACCACCAUCCUGGACUCUGAGGUGCCAGUGAGUAAGAUCACCUAUAACGUGGCAGUUAUCAGCGAAUCGGAACAGGCGACAAAAAAAUACCAUCCACGCCCUACACUUCCUG